UUCUCGCUCGACUAUCGGGUUAGCGGUGUUUAUUUGCUUGGUUGAUAUCCGAUACGGUCCAGAUCCUCGAAUAUUCUUACGCCAUCUUAUCUACUAUGACGUAAAAUAAAUAAACUUAUGACUGAAGGAAAUGUAUAGACGUCUUCUCACGAAUUCAAAUCAGUAUAGUCUUGCGACACGAACAGAGUGCAUCGAAACGUGAAAAUCACAAAGAGCAUACUUGGCAGUCUUUUAUUAUUAUUUUGUAAUAUUCUAUGUCAUAGUACGUGUUAUAAGUGCAAUUUUCAAAAUAGUGAACAAGACUAACAAUACGUCGCAUUUUUAUUUUCUCCGUUGAAUAUUUACCCCAAAAUGUCAAGACGUUUGAGGAGUGCGAAUGUAUUAUUAGAGAGAAUAAAUGAUAUCGAUGCAGAAUGUUCUGACGAUGAUCAGGAAAUUCUGGAUAUGGAAAACGACAA